rnacentral:rRNA from 1 species
AUGAGUCUUGAUGGUGGUUUGGGUGAUGAUUCAGCAGCUGCUGGCUCCAGCCAUGGCCCUAGUUUCACGGAUGGCAUGAGCUUCGAUGAUGUUUCAGACAAUGGUAAACAAGCAGACGCACAUGGAAAAAACAAGAAUGUCUGUGAUUGUGAUGAUCAACAGGAAGGCGGGCCAGUGCAACAAGAAAAUGUUGAACACCUGUCACAGGAGGACAUACUCAUUUUCAUAGAAAAUGACAGUGUCUGUGCGGCUCAGGCUCAGACUUGCAGCCAAGAAGUACGGAGCCACCAUGUGCCAUAUGUGGGCAUGGUCUUUGAUUCUUGUGAUGCUGCCCAUGCAUUCUACAAUGAGUAUGCAGCCAUUUGUGGUUUUGCAAUCAAGAAAGCAGGCAACUACCAUGCAACUAAACCUGGUGGCAAGGCAGUGUCCCGUUACACUUACAGGUGCAACCGCUCGGGUAAAGUUGUUGGCGAGGAUGUGCUUGAAGAAAGGAAAAAACAGAGGCAGCUCAAGAAGCAAGAAAAAACAGGGAUUCCCCCACCUGAGAAGGCAAAAAGGAAGAGGAAAAACUUCAUACAAAUAACCGGGUGCCAGGCUAAAAUGAUUGCAACACUAAAAGGAGACAAAUGGGUUGUCACGAGUGUUGACCUGGAGCACAACCACACCCUUAGCCCUCCAGACGAGAGCAAGUAUCUCAGAUCGCACAAGAAGAUGACAGAGGAAGAGAAGUUGUUUAUCAGGACAUUUAACUCUGUACAAAUGCCCACUAGGAAGAUUAUGGCCAUUCUUUCUUACCUGCGAGGGGGUGAUGCACCAUACACUAAGAAAUAUGUUAGCAAUGUGAGGACGGCAAUAAACAGAGAGAAUGGCAAGGGAGAUAUGCUGCAGGUCCUUGAGUACUUUAGGAACAAACAAAAGGAAGAUCCAAAUUUCUACUAUGCAUUCAAAGUUGCUGACGAGGACAUCAACAAGGUGUUGUGCAUAUUCUGGGCGGAUGGCUACUCGAGAAAAAUGUAUGAGCUGUAUGGUGAUUGUUUGAGUUUCGACACGACAUACAAGACAAACCGUUACAAUAUGCCGUUUGCACCGUUUGUUGGCAUCACUGGACACGGGCUCAACUGCUUGUUUGCUUGUGCUAUAGUGCAUAACGAGACGGUGGACACAUUUGAAUGGCUUUUCGACACAUUUCUGGACUGCAUGCGUCGAAAAGCUCCUCUCACGGUCAUUACUGACCAAGAUGUGGCAAUGAAGACCGCGGUUCCUGCUGUUUUCAAGGGUGUUGUUCAUAGGUGUUGUCUCUUCCACAUAAUGAAAAAGGUUCGGGAAAGAUGUGUGAGAACCUUUUCAACACAACCAGACUUGUAUGCUGACUUCAGCGACAUCAUGCAUAACUGCCUGACAGAGGCAGAGUUUGAGACGUUGUGGCCACCGAUGACGCAGAAGUAUGGAGUAGAGAAUGUCAAGUACUUCAGGUACAUGUGGAAGUAUAGGGAGUUGUUUGUCCCAGUCUAUUUCAAGAAAAGCUUCUUCCCUUUCAUCCACUCGACUGCCCGGAGUGAAGGGACAAAUGCCAUAUUCAAGGACAAUGUAGGCUCAACAUUCAGUGUGAUUACCUUUUUGCGUGAGUAUGAGCGGAUAUUGAAAGCGAUGCAGGAGAAUGAGAAGGAACAAGACUCUAUUACCAGAACAACAAAGCCAACCUACUGGCUGGGCACUGAACUGGAAUUGCAGGCUGCAGAGAAGUACAAUAGAGCGAUAUUCUACAGAUUUUAG